rnacentral:rRNA from 1 species
UAUGUGAUCGUCUCUCGCAUAUCAAUAAGCGGAGGAAAAGAAACUAACAAGGAUUCCCCUAGUAACGGCGAGUGAAGCGGGAAGAGCUCAAAUUUGAAAUCUUAAAGGGUUUCCCUUUACGAAUUGUAGUUUAAAGAAGUGUUUUCUGUUGAGGUUUUGGUAAAAGUUCUUUGGAAUAGGACAUCAUAGAGGGUGAGAAUCCCGUAUUUGACCUUUACUUUCAACUUUGUGAUACACUUUCAAAGAGUCGGAUUGUUUGGGAAUGCAGUCCAAAAUGGGUGGUAAAUUUCAUCUAAAGCUAAAUAUUGGCGAGAGACCGAUAGCGAACAAGUACCGUGAGGGAAAGAUGAAAAGAACUUUGAAAAGAGAGUUAAACAGUACGUGAAAUUGUCAAAAGGGAAGCGUUUGACACCAGUGUUGUUUUUCUGAAAAUCAAUUAAAGAACUGUUUAUGCUAAGCUGUUUAGACUUUAUCAGCUAACUGUUUAGUUUUGAGCUUUUCUUUAAUGCACUUUUCAGUUAACAAGUCAACAUCAAUUUCUUUUGCUGUAAAAAAGCUUGAGGAAGGUGGCUUGAGAUUCGUCUUAAGUGUUUAUAGCCUCUGCCUAUGCAGUCGGAGAGAUUGAGGUCUGCAGCGUAGAUCCUUCGGGGCUAAAUGCAUUUGUGCUAAGUUAUAGCAUUUUAUAGACAACUUGUUGACUAUGAUUUGUCUUGUAGCUUACUCGCUUAUGUUAUUUUACCUACGCUUAGGAUGUUGAGUAGCGACAUACGCAC